rnacentral:rRNA from 1 species
AUUGAACGCUGGCGGCAGGCUUAACACAUGCAAGUCGAGCGGAGAGAGGUAGCUUGCUACUGAUCUUAGCGGCGGACGGGUGAGUAAUGCUUAGGAAUCUGCCUAUUAGUGGGGGACAACAUUUCGAAAGGAAUGCUAAUACCGCAUACGUCCUACGGGAGAAAGCAGGGGAUCUUCGGACCUUGCGCUAAUAGAUGAGCCUAAGUCGGAUUAGCUAGUUGGUGGGGUAAAGGCCUACCAAGGCGACGAUCUGUAGCGGGUCUGAGAGGAUGAUCCGCCACACUGGGACUGAGACACGGCCCAGACUCCUACGGGAGGCAGCAGUGGGGAAUAUUGGACAAUGGGCGCAAGCCUGAUCCAGCCAUGCCGCGUGUGUGAAGAAGGCCUUAUGGUUGUAAAGCACUUUAAGCGAGGAGGAGGCUACUUUAGUUAAUACCUAGAGAUAGUGGACGUUACUCGCAGAAUAAGCACCGGCUAAAUGUGUGCCAGCCGCCGCCGUAACAC